UACGUAGGGGGCAAGCGUUAUCCGGAUUUACUGGGUGUAAAGGGAGCGUAGACGGCGCGGCAAGUCUGAAGUGAAAGGCAGGGGCUUAACCCCUGAACUGCUUUGGAAACUGGAGGACUGGAGAGCAGGAGAGGGCGGUGGAACUCUAUGUGUAGCGGUAAAAUGCGUAGAUAUAUGGAAGAACACCAGUGGCGAAGGCGGCCGCCUGGCCUGUUGCUGACGCUGAGGCACGAAAGCGUGGGGAUCGAACAGG
rnacentral:rRNA from 1 species